rnacentral:rRNA from 1 species
AACGAACGCUGGCGGCAGGCCUAACACAUGCAAGUCGAGCGAGGACUUCGGUCCUAGCGGCGGACGGGUGAGUAACGCGUGGGAACGUGCCCUUUGCUUCGGAAUAGCCCUGGGAAACUGGGAGUAAUACCGGAUGAGCCCUUUGGGGGAAAGAUUUAUCGGCGAAGGAUCGGCCCGCGUUGGAUUAGGUAGUUGGUGGGGUAAUGGCCUACCAAGCCGACGAUCCAUAGCUGGGUUGAGAGGAUGAUCAGCCACACUGGGACUGAGACACGGCCCAGACUCCUACGGGAAGCAGCAGUGGGGAAUCUUAGACAAUGGGGGAAACCCUGAUCUAGCCAUGCCGCGUGAGCGAUGAAGGCCUUAGGGUUGUAAAGCUCUUUCAGCUGGGAAGAUAAUGACGGUACCAGCAGAAGAAGCCCCGGCUAACUCCGUG